GCUCAGUUGGUUAAGUGUCUGACUCUUGAUUUCGGAUCAGGUCAUGAUCUCAGUGUCGUGAGAUCCAGCCCCACAUUGAGCU
rnacentral:tRNA from 1 species